UGCCAGCCGCCGCGGUAAGACGUAGGGACCGAGCGUUGUCCGGAUUUAUUGGGCGUAAAGAGCUCGUAGGCGGUUGCGUAAGUCGGAUGUGAAAACUUGAGGCUCAACCUCAAGACGCCAUCCGAUACUGCGCUGACUUGAAUCCAGUAGGGGAGUGUGGAAUUCCUGGUGUAGCGGUGGAAUGCGCAGAUAUCAGGAGGAACACCUAUGGCGAAGGCAGCACUCUGGGCUGGUAUUGACGCUGAGGUGCGAAAGCGUGGGGAGCAAACAGGAUUAGAUA
rnacentral:rRNA from 1 species